AUGCGCCCCUUCAAAACCUGUGUUGGACGUACCCACAUGGCCAUUGAGGUCUCCUCCUAUGAAGAGCUUCUCACCAAUUGGUACAUUCCUAACCAUGUCUUCCAGGCCUUCCCUGAACUCCCUCUUGGUGUUCUCAUUGUGGCCUACUUGCGGGGCAUACGCGCUGAUAACAUUGAGAACCAAGUCCUCACUUACCAGCUUGACCAGGAUAAUCCGGUCCCCACGUCUCUUGACAUCUACCACUCCAUACUUGAGGCUCUUGUUGAUCAAGAUGCCUACGCCAUUUCUGUUUGUAGCCGUCCCCGUGUACCACAACUUAAAGCCGGUAUCCUCCACCUCCUCCGCCUUCUGUCCUCUCCAUUUGGUUUCUUGGACGCAAAGGAUAUCAACAGCUCUCCUCACCAAGGAAGGAGAGGUAAUCUUGGAGCAAGACCGCCACAACAACAUGUUGUUCAACGUGCUUCAAGAAGGCCAAUUUAUGUUGAAGCUUCUGGAGGUGAAGAAUAUGAUGAUGCCCUUGAAGAACCAAAUCUCUACGCAUAUCGGAGAGCACCCAACCCUACAUAUGCAAGAGAUACAUAG
rnacentral:rRNA from 1 species